GAUGAACGCUGGCGGCGUGCCUAAUACAUGCAAGUCGAGCGAACAGAUAAGGAGCUUGCUCCUUUGACGUUAGCGGCGGACGGGUGAGUAACACGUGGAUAACCUACCUAUAAGACUGGGAUAACUUCGGGAAACCGGAGCUAAUACCGGAUAACAUAUUGAACCGCAUGGUUCAAUAGUGAAAGGCGGCUUUGCUGUCACUUAUAGAUGGAUCCGCGCCGUAUUGGCUAGUUGGUAAGGUAACGGCUCACCAAGGCAACGAUACGUAGCCGACCUGAGAGGGUGAUCGGCCACACUGGAACUGAGACACGGUCCAGACUCCUACGGGAGGCAGCAGUAGGGAAUCUUCCGCAAUGGGCGAAAGCCUGACGGAGCAACGCCGCGUGAGUGAUGAAGGUCUUCGGAUCGUAAAACUCUGUUAUCAGGGAAGAACAAAUGUGUAAGUAACUGUGCACAUCUUGACGGUACCUGAUCAGAAAGCCACGGCUAACUACGUG
rnacentral:rRNA from 1 species